rnacentral:rRNA from 1 species
GACGAACGCUGGCGGCGUGCUUAACACAUGCAAGUCGAGCGAUGAAGUUCCUUCGGGAACGGAUUAGCGGCGGACGGGUGAGUAACACGUGGGUAACCUGCCUCAUAGAGGGGAAUAGCCUUUCGAAAGGAAGAUUAAUACCGCAUAAGAUUGUAGUUUCGCAUGAAACAGCAAUUAAAGGAGUAAUCCGCUAUGAGAUGGACCCGCGUCGCAUUAGCUAGUUGGUGAGGUAACGGCUCACCAAGGCGACGAUGCGUGGCCGACCUGAGAGGGUGAUCGGCCACAUUGGGACUGAGACACGGCCCAGACUCCUACGGGAGGCAGCAGUGGGGAAUAUUGCACAAUGGGGGAAACCCUGAUGCAGCAACGCCGCGUGAGUGAUGACGGUCUUCGGAUUGUAAAACUCUGUCUUCAGGGACGAUAAUGACGGUACCUGAGGAGGAAGCCACGGCUAACUACGUGCCAGCAGCCGCGGUAA